rnacentral:rRNA from 1 species
UACAGAGGGGGCUAGCGUUGUUCGGAAUCACUGGGUGUAAAGGGUGCGUAGGCUGUCCGUUAAGUCUGAUGUGAAAGCCCUGGGCUCAACUCAGGAAUUGCAUUGGAAACUGGCGGACUCAGAGUACCGGAGAGGGAAGCGGAAUUCCUGGUGUAGCGGUGAAAUGCGUAGAUAUCAGGAAGAACACCCGUGGCGAAGGCGGCUCUCUGGGACGGUACUGACGCUGAGACGCGAAAGCGUGGGGAGCGAACAGG